rnacentral:rRNA from 1 species
CUACGGGGUGCUGCAGUGAGGAAUAUUGCACAAUGGGGGGAACCCUGAUGCAGCAAUGCCGCGUGGAGGAUGACGCAUUUCGGUGUGUAAACUCCUUUUAUAUGUCAAGAAAAUGACGGUAGCAUAUGAAUAAGCACCGGCUAACUCCGUGCCAGCAGCCGCGGUAAUACGGAGGAUGCAAGCGUUACUCGGAAUCACUGGGCGUAAAGGACGCGUAGGCGGGUUGGAAAGUCAGGUGUGAAAUCCUACAGCUUAACUGUAGAACUGCACUUGAAACUUCUAAUCUAGAGUAUGGGAGGGGGAGAUGGAAUUAGUGGUGUAGGGGUAAAAUCCGUAGAUAUCACUAGGAAUACCUAAAGCGAAGGCGAUCUCCUGGAACAUUACUGACGCUAAGGCGUGAAAGCGUGGGGAGCAAACAGGAUUAGAUACCCCUGUAGUC